rnacentral:tRNA from 1 species
GGACGAGCAGUGUUUAUGACACGACAGGCUGCAACUCUGUAAACGUAAUUUUAUUACCUUGUCCU